rnacentral:piRNA from 1 species
UACUAUGAGUGCCACUACCCUCCCUGC